rnacentral:rRNA from 1 species
UACAGAGGUCUCGAGCGUUAGGCGGAAUCACUGGGCUUAAAGCGUGUGUAGGCGGAUCGUUAAGUGCCUUGUGAAAUCCCACGGCUCAACCGUGGAACUGCUUGGCAUACUGGCGGUCUUGAGCAACCUAGGGGCGAGCGGAACAAAUGGUGGAGCGGUGAAAUGCGUAGAUAGCAUUUGGAACGCCAAUGGUGAAAACAGCUCGCUGGGGGUUUGCUGACGCUGAGACACGAAAGCCAGGGGAGCAAACGGG